UCGGGAAUUUUGGGCAAUGGGCGAAAGCCUGACCCAGCAACGCCGCGUGAAGGAUGAAGUAUUUCGGUAUGUAAACUUCGAAAGAAUAGGAAGAAUAAAUGACGGUACUAUUUAUAAGGUCCGGCUAACUACGUGCCAGCAGCCGCGGUAAUACGUAGGGACCAAGCGUUGUUCGGAUUUACUGGGCGUAAAGGGCGCGUAGGCGGCAUGACAAGUCACUUGUGAAAUCUCUGGGCUUAACCCAGAACGGCCAAGUGAUACUGUCGCGCUAGAGUGCAGAAGGGGCAAUCGGAAUUCUUGGUGUAGCGGUGAAAUGCGUAGAUAUCAAGAGGAACACCUGAGGUGAAGACGGGUUGCUGGGCUGACACUGACGCUGAGGCGCGAAAGCCAGGGGAGCAAACGGGAUUAGAUACCCUUGUAGUCCCUGAGCGGGCUGGCAAGGCGCAU
rnacentral:rRNA from 1 species